GACCCCUAGCCUGGGAACUGCCAUAUGCCACGAGUGCGGCCCUAGAAAAGGCAAAAAAAAAAAAAAGAAAAAAAGAAAAAAUAUUUAGACAGGAUUUUCCUAAAAUGAGGAAAAGUCUUGAAAGACAUUUGAAAACAACAAAAACACUUAAUCCCAUCCAAGUUAUGGAUCACUGUCACCCAGAAAACUGUGUAUUUUGAUAAAGGGUGAUCUAUGGGACUGAAAUUGAGUAACAGAACCAAGGAUUUAGAAUUUUAAAAUUGAAAAAGACUAGGUCUCAGGCCCUAAUUUUCUCCCCUGUAAACUGGAUUCAGUUGUCUUCCCUAUCUUAUUGUGAAGAUUUAAAGAAAGAAUACAUGGCAAGUGCUUUACCUUAAAUCGCUGCACAAACAGAAGGAAUUUUGGGAAAUGUCCCUUAAAGCUUUGCUCUAUUAGCAACCUAUUUUUGCUAUUAUUAUUGCUAUUAUUGCAACCUAUUAUUGUUAUUAUUAAACCUCUAUUAGCAUGUUCAAGUCCUUGAAUUCCCAGGGAGAAUACCCUUAGAAGCUGACGUCAAUAGAUAGCAUGUUGAAUUAAAAGGUUCUACAGGAGUUGUCUUUGUGGCUCAGUGGUUAACGAACCCAACUAGGAUCCAUGAGGAUUUGGGUUCAAUCCCUGGCCUUGCUCAGUGGGUUAAGGAUCUGGCAUUGCCGUAAGCUGUUGUGUAGGUAGCAGACGUGGCUCAGAUCCAGUGCUGCUGGGGCUGUGGUGUAGGCUGAUGGCUGCAGCUCCGACUCGACCCCUAGCCUGGGAACUUCCAUAUGCCACAGGUGCGGCCCUUUAAGGAAAAAAAAAAUAGGUUCUACAGCCUACAGCUGUAUUUUGGAGCAGAGGAGACACAACGGGACUUCUGUGGCUGGGCAGAGGGAGAAUUCAACCAGAUGGAAGAAACCCCAGAGCUUUCUUUGGCCUCCUUCCUCAUCCACUCUCCUCCCAAGAUGCUGUCUGGAGUCUUCCUUUUCAGCCAUUUCCAACCCAGGGAAGGCCUGUGUCCCAAGGCAAUGGUAUGACGUCAGGGAGCUGCUAGAGCAGAAGUGGAAGGCGGCUCUGAGGUCCUUCUCAGGGUCUGGGCGUGCGUGCUCAGGGAACAGCCGUCACUGAGUCCAGCUGUUGCUGAGUCCAGCUGUUUCUGCAGGCCUUUAUUUAUGGUCUU
rnacentral:lncRNA from 1 species